CUACGGGUGGCUGCAGUGGGGAAUAUUGCACAAUGGGCGCAAGCCUGAUGCAGCCAUGCCGCGUGUAUGAAGAAGGCCUUCGGGUUGUAAAGUACUUUCAGCGGGGAGGAAGGGAGUAAAGUUAAUACCUUUGCUCAUUGACGUUACCCGCAGAAGAAGCACCGGCAAACUCCGUGCCAGCAGCCGCGGUAAUACGGAGGGUGCAAGCGUUAAUCGGAAUUACUGGGCGUAAAGCGCACGCAGGCGGCUUGUUAAGUCAGAUGUGAAAUCCCCGGGCUCAACCUGGGAACUGCAUCUGAUACUGGCAAGCUUGAGUCUCGUAGAGGGGGGUAGAAUUCCAGGUGUAGCGGUGAAAUGCGUAGAGAGCUGGAGGAAUACCGGUGGCGAAGGCGGCCCCCUGGACGAAGACUGACGCUCAGGUGCGAAAGCGUGGGGAGCAAACAGGAUUAGAUACCCCCGUAGUC
rnacentral:rRNA from 1 species